GACGUAGGGUGCAAGCGUUGUCCGGAAUUAUUGGGCGUAAAGAGUUCGUAGGCGGUUAUUUAAGUCUGGUGUUAAAGACGGGAGCUCAACUCCCGCAUGGCAUUGGAAACUGGAUAGCUAGAGUACGGUAGAGGUCUCGGGAAUUCCAGGUGUAGCGGUGAAAUGCGUAGAUAUCUGGAGGAACACCGGUGGCGAAAGCGCGAGACUGGGCCGUAACUGACGCUGAGGAACGAAAGCUAGGGUAGCCAAAGGG
rnacentral:rRNA from 1 species